AGGACGCAGUCAGGCAGUGAGAGUGUCUGAUGCAAAAACGGGGGCAAUUCAGUCAACAGGCCUCCCAGUUCUGUCCAAGCCCGGGAACGCCCACCGCGCCAGGAUAUAUGGAUUUUUUCGAAGCAGUCCAGUUCUGUCCAAGCCCGGGAACGCCCACCGCGC